rnacentral:ncRNA from 1 species
UUGAUAGAGGCGCGGUGCUUAAAAGUAGCAUUUUGUGUAAAGGCAUUUGCAAUUUGUGAAAGGAAUCACCGCCGAAGGAAAUCGGCUUUGCCUUAGAGCCUUUUUUCUGGGCUGUCGGGGAACACCCGGUAGACUGUCGCGAUUAUUCGCGGAGGGCUAUCA